UGCUGUUGAUUUUAUUGAUGAGGAGAGGAGAAAAAAAGUCACAAAGGCCUGAGGAAGAUAUUCAACGAAAGAAGGAAAUCAUGGAACUGAAGCGGUAUGGAAUGACACCUUUAAAGAAAGCUGUGGAUCUGCAGAUAUUGAAGGAAUUGGUCUCCAUGGGAUUUAUGAAGAACUUAAAUUGGCUGCAGAAGCCCUUAGAAGAAAUGACAAAUGACUUCAACAAAGUCCUGGGUGGAUUGACAAAUCCAGAAACAAAAUCUAUCAUAUCAUAAUAGAGCACUACAUACAUUGAGUUAAAGAAGAAUAAAAGACCGAGACAAGUAGUAGAUGCUGCUAUCGAAGAACUUGUAUCCAUGGGCUUCGAAAGAUGAAGAGUGGUUGAAGGUGUGCGGGCUUUUGGCACUAAAGAGUUGGGACUGAAUCAGCUAGUGGCGGAACCUGCAUCAGAUCUCACAGUCCCAAAUAAUGAUGGUAUAGCUUCUGCUGCUCCAUUAAAUGAUAACUCGUGGGUUCAUCUAGCUUGAACAGCGAGGAUGCUGGUUUUUCUAGCUUCAA